rnacentral:rRNA from 1 species
GAUGAACGCUGGCGGCGUGCUUAACACAUGCAAGUCGAACGGAAAGGCCCAAGCUUGCUUGGGUACUCGAGUGGCGAACGGGUGAGUAACACGUGGGUGAUCUGCCCUGCACUUCGGGAUAAGCCUGGGAAACUGGGUCUAAUACCGGAUAGGACCACUUCUUGGAUGUUGUGGUGGAAAGUUUUUUCGGUGUGGGAUGAGCUCGCGGCCUAUCAGCUUGUUGGUGGGGUAAUGGCCUACCAAAGCGUCGACGGGUAGCCGGCCUGAGAGGGUGUACGGCCACAUUGGGACUGAGAUACGGCCCAGACUCCUACGGGAGGCAGCAGUGGGGAAUAUUGCACAAUGGGCGCAAGCCUGAUGCAGCGACGCCGCGUGGGGGAUGACGGCCUUCGGGUUGUAAACUCCUUUCGCUAGGGACGAAGCGUUUUGUGACGGUACCUGGAGAAGAAGCACCGGCUAACUACGUG